rnacentral:rRNA from 1 species
CGUGCCUAAUACAUGCAAGUCGAGCGGUAAGGCUUUCACAGAUUAUUAACCAGAUAAGUUCUUCGGAAAACUGUCUGCAGCGUUGUUCUCCCGGCUAGGAGAAUAAGGUUGAAUAAUGCGUGAAAGUACACGAGCGGCGGACGGCUGAGUAACACGUAGGAACGUACCCCAAAGUGAGGGAUAAGCACCGGAAACGGUGUCUAAUACCGCAUGUGAUCUUCGGAUUAAAGCUUCGGCGCUUUGGGAACGGCCUGCGCAUGGUUAGCUUGUUGGUGAGGUAAAAGCUCACCAAGGCGACGAUCAUUAGCUGGUCUGAGAGGAUGAUCAGCCAGACUGGGACUGAGAACGGCCCAGACUCCUACGGGAGGCAGCAGUAGGGAAUUUCCACAAUGGACGAAAGUCUGAUGGAGCAACGCCGCGUGCAGGAUGAAGGGUUUCGGCUCGUAAACUGCUUUUAUCUGUGAAGAUUAUGACGGUAGCAGAUGAAUAAGGAUCGGCUAACUCCGUG